rnacentral:rRNA from 1 species
UACGGAGGGUGCGAGCGUUGUCCGGAAUCACUGGGCGUAAAGGGCGCGUAGGCGGCCUGAUAAGUAGGGGGUGAAAUCCUGCGGCUUAACCGCAGGGCUGCCUUCUAAACUGUCAGGCUUGAGCACAGUAGAGGCAGGUGGAAUUCCCGGUGUAGCGGUGGAAUGCGUAGAGAUCUCCAAGAACACCAGUUGCGAAGGCGGCCGACUGGACACAUAUUGACGCUGAGGCUCGAAAGCAUGGGGAGCAAACAGG